UACAGAGGUCUCGAGCGUUGUUCGGAUUCAUUGGGCGUAAAGGGUGCGUAGGUGGCUAGGUAAGUCGGAUGUGAAAUCCCGGGGCUCAACCCCGGAACUGCAUUCGAUACUGCCUGGCUAGAGUACUGGAGAGGAGAUUGGAAUUUACGGUGUAGCAGUGAAAUGCGUAGAUAUCGUAAGGAAGACCGGUGGCGAAGGCGGAUCUCUGGACAGUUACUGACACUGAGGCACGAAGGCCAGGGGAGCAAACGGG
rnacentral:rRNA from 1 species